rnacentral:lncRNA from 1 species
GUGGCACUGAGAAAACACAAAUCACGUUCCCCCUGUCCCCCUUGGCCACCCUGCCCGUGUCCUGGCUGCUCACGUCCUGGAGGAGGAGGGAACAGGGUUUUGUUUGCUCCACGAUUUCCCCUGGCUCAGGGGGCUGUUACCCCAAUUAGCACUAAUUGCUGUGGCCCGUGGUGCUGGACCAGCUGCAGCUGUGCUGUUCUCCCCUCAUCCCUGUUCCCUGCUCUGUGCCAUCCCCUCUUCCCAAGCUCUCACUGGGGACAGGCUCCGGCUGCCGCUGGCUGGGAUUCCAGUCACAAACACAAGCUGGCGGCAUGGAUCUGCUCGGAAUUUAUUUUAAACUCGAGGUCGCUGUAUGGGAGAAGUGAUGGUCCAAGUCCCUCCAGCCCCCCAAGGAGGGAAAAGAGAAAAAUAUAGAAUGGGUAAAGGAUGCUCCAUUCAUGGAUUUUGGAGUUCUUUGUCGCUGGAUUCCUCCAGUACCAAGUGAACCUUGGGUUUUUUUUAGGUGGCAUUAACUGAGGCUAAACCAGAUGGGGUUUGGAACAACCUGGUCUAGUGGAAGGUGUCCCUGCCCAUGGCCUUGGAACUGGAUGAGCUUUAAAGUCCUUCCAACCCAAACUAUCCUGGGAUUAUCUCCGUGGGCACUCUCUGGGUCACGGAUUGUCCCCAUGAACGUUCCGGGCUCUUGGUCC